UGCAACCAAUGUAUAUAAUCUUUCAAACCAACAUUACAAAAAGACCACAAAUUUAAGCCUCUAAAUCGGCAUCCACAAAUUAACAAGACUCCCCCAAUCUCCAUCAAGAACAAGGCCGAUGGUUUCAUCUAAAGCUAGGUGACACCGCUAAUCUUCUUGAUAACCAAAAACAGAGAAAAAAAAAAGUAUAUAAAAAAAACAUGUACAUCAGAGGAAGAUGCGUUAGUUACUACACCCCCGCCAUCCUCACCUCACCAUUAAAACCCCCGAAUGGAAUAAUCGAAUAACCUAAAAGUAUUUUGAACACCCGAUGCUUUGCUUGCCGCACAAGAAACGAACAUGGCUGGUAAAAUAAUACCUUACCAAGUGAGAAAUGCUCUUUAAUCUUUUCUCAAGCUGUUGAUGUCACGCCUAACCUGUUAAAGAAACAACCAUACAACAGUCUGCAGCAGAACAGUAUACAAAAUAAUACACCAUGGAUCGGAAAAUGAGCCAAACAGGUUUCCAUCAGUUUGGCCUCAUUUGCCGAUUCCAAUAAAAGAAAAACACCAGAAAACGAAAAAACGACACCCCUCCCCCUAUAAAACGCCCUUAAAUAACAGUUUUAACGUAAGGGGCAUUAUUGUCAUUUUGCAAUUGUAGAGGUACCAAACUUGGUCCUAUACUUGAUAAAAAAUACCAUUAGAAGCUUUUAAACUUUCAAUAUUGAUUUAUGUUUAUACUGAAAUAAAACAUAAAAAAAUAAGUAAAAAGAAUUGAUGACUAGCAAUAUUUUAAAAAAGCAUUUUCUAAAUUUUGUUCAUUUGACCACUUAACAACAAAAGCUAACCCAAUUUUACGAAAAUGGGGUCAAAAAUGUCACCUCAAAAAAAUACGAGUUAAUUACUGGAGUAAACUUCUGUUUUGCUCCCUGUGGUUUGCAUUGGCUUCAAAACACAAAAUCAACCAAAAAACGUAUUAGGUCUCUUAUACUAAACCGAGUUAAGAAAACAUGCUUAUAAAACACGCUUAAUAACAUAAAACGAACAAAAAAACCCUACUCAUUUUCAGCAUCAGAAAAGCUGCAAUAAUUUUUUUACACAACACUCAAAAACUGGAAGGUAUAUACACUUAAUGAGAAAAAGAUAUAUUGGGGAAGGUUAACAUACAAUAGCCCCUUAACGUGCGACGGUGCGAAGUGAAUUACACAUGUUGAUUUUUAAAAUACGCAGGUAAUAAUACAUAAUUACGCACGUUAUUUGCACAGUUACGCAUGGGUUGGGUUAACGCUAAUUAUGCAUGUUAUAAUACAUAAUUACGCACGUUACUGUUCACUCCCGCACCGUCGCCCGUUAAGACCCUUUUGUAUUUAUAACUUUCACAAAGGAUAAUUUGAAAAAUAAAACCUCAAUUUCAAACACCUCGAUAAUUUAUCUACAGCCGAUUGAGAAUCUUCCUCACUUAACUCCUGACAGUUGCUUCCGAAACUCGUUUUUUCAAGCCCGACAUCCUCAUUCGUAACUAUACUAGACCCCGAACUACAUCCAAUAACCCCAACUUCCUCAUUCUUAAAACUACUCAUGGGUUCGAGCCCGUUAACUAACGCAUGGCUCAGCGGACUCAUGAACGGGCUCGAGAUCGGGCUCGGGCUAAUUGAUUGCCUUCUUUGUGGACUAUCUCUCUCCACACCUUCUCCCUUUCUCUUUGCACUCGUUUUCUCAGCAGAACCCAAACCGCAAACGGGUUGAUGACUCGCGGCCCGCGGAAGUCGAGGCCGUUUAUAACCAUCUGGAAACACAUAUAGUGGGAUUUGCUUUCUACGAACGUGAGAAACGUAAAUCUCCAUCCCAGGCUUCCAAAACAUGUACAUGUUAACCGAAUGCCGAAACUCGUCGACUGUACCACGGAUGUCGAAUUGUUGAUUUUCUUGAACUAAUUCGCCUUGUUUUCGUUGUAGUCCCAUAAAAAAUGCGUUGUGUGAACAUUGUUUUGACGGGUCGAUGUAGUCGUGAGGGUACGGAUGGCAUUGAAGCUUCCCUUGCGUGUCUCGUUCAAUCUGCGUAGUCAAAAUAAACAAAUAAAAAAGCAAGAGAAUGAUUGAUGUUAUUCCAUCGUAAUUACCAAUAGUCUUCGUAAUCAGAUUUAGUAAAUUGAUUACUUAGUAUACUUAUAAAAAAAGUAUAUUAUUAUUGACCGGUGAACCCAACAAAGCCUUUCGACAAGACAUAUAUCAAAUUACGGAUACCAACACUAACCCGUUGCUUCUAUAAGUGUUGGCUAGUCAUCCAACCCGACCUAACCUAACCCAUUUUGACCAGAAAUCAACAUUGACCGGUUUCAACUCAAAACCAUUUUAGUAUAUUCAUUAUUGAAUACAGAGUAAAAUGCCAUUUUUGUCCUUGAGGUUUGGCCAAUUUUGUGACUUUCAUCCAAACGUUUGUUUUCCCGCAUCUAGAUCCAAAAGGUUUGAAAUCUUACAACCAUCCGACUCGUUAACUUCAUUCAUUUUUCUCGGUCAAUUCAGGGGUAUUUCUAUCUUUUUUUUAACUUAAAGGGCAAUUCGGUAUUUUUCAGGGGUAUUCCGUUUUUUACAUAAGCUGAAAAAGACAGAAUUGCUCUUGAAGUUAAGAAAAAAGACUGAAAUACCCCUGAUUUAGUGGAGAAAAAUGGAUAGAGUUAACGAGCCGGAUUAAAAUGUCAAGGUUUCAAACCUUUUGGAUCAAGAGGUGGAAAAACAAACCUUUUGAAAAUGACAUUUUACUCUAUUAUUUAUUUAAUAUUUCUAAAAAGGUACAAAGCUGUUGAACGCACAACCCAACCCUUCCUAACCGUUGCAACCAGACAAGAAUUUACCGGUUUCUACUCGAAACCGUUUCAACACACCCAACCUCCCAUCUUGCCACCUGGCACCUAUAGUACAGCUUAUGUUAGCCUCAACCAAAGGAGCCAUGACUUCUUUUCUUUCUUUCGUCUUAUCGUUUUUGAAUUGCAAGCAAGGAUUACGAAUAGAAAAAUCAAACAUUACCAUCAAGGUCAAUUGCCUCAAACGAGACUCUACCCAACCUUUCCAAGCCCGUAAAUCAUCUGGGUCAGCAGCAACUAUGUCAACUUGUAAAUAGUUUUUGUAGCUCUCGAAGAACAUGUACGGUUCAAAAAGUACAGGCCACUGUGCUUUAUUAAGUUCUAUUUCCUUGUGCUUAUGGAGACAUUAUAACUGGAAUUCAUGCACGGGUAGGCAGGUGUUAUGAUUGGCAUAUGAUGAGUUUUGUCCUUUGGAUUCUUACGCGGGUCCCACACAGUACAUCCAAGCUCAUCCUCUUGUAUAGCACAAAGCAUCACCGGAUUUGGCCAUCGCCACUGUGUAUAUACCCUAAAAAACCGAGAAACCAACA
rnacentral:lncRNA from 1 species